rnacentral:tRNA from 1 species
GGGCGGAUAGCUCAGCUGGUCAGAGCACCUCGUUUACACCGAGGGGGUCGGGGGUUCGAGUCCCUCUCCGCCCA